rnacentral:rRNA from 1 species
AAAUUGAAGAGUUUGAUCAUGGCUCAGAUUGAACGCUGGCGGCAGGCCUAACACAUGCAAGUCGAGCGGUAGCACAGAGAGCUUGCUCUCGGGUGACGAGCGGCGGACGGGUGAGUAAUGUCUGGGAAACUGCCUGAUGGAGGGGGAUAACUACUGGAAACGGUAGCUAAUACCGCAUAAUGUCGCAAGACCAAAGUGGGGACCUUCGGGCCUCAUGCCAUCAGAUGUGCCCAGAUGGGAUUAGCUAGUAGGUGGGGUAACGGCUCACCUAGGCGACGAUCCCUAGCUGGUCUGAGAGGAUGACCAGCCACACUGGAACUGAGACACGGUCCAGACUCCUACGGGAGGCAGCAGUGGGGAAUAUUGCACAAUGGGCGCAAGCCUGAUGCAGCCAUGCCGCGUGUGUGAAGAAGGCCUUCGGGUUGUAAAGCACUUUCAGCGGGGAGGAAGGCGUUAAGGUUAAUAACCUUGGCGAUUGACGUUACCCGCAGAAGAAGCACCGGCUAACUCCGUGCCAGCAGCCGCGGUAAUACGGAGGGUGCAAGCGUUAAUCGGAAUUACUGGGCGUAAAGCGCACGCAGGCGGUCUGUCAAGUCGGAUGUGAAAUCCCCGGGCUCAACCUGGGAACUGCAUUCGAAACUGGCAGGCUAGAGUCUUGUAGAGGGGGGUAGAAUUCCAGGUGUAGCGGUGAAAUGCGUAGAGAUCUGGAGGAAUACCGGUGGCGAAGGCGGCCCCCUGGACAAAGACUGACGCUCAGGUGCGAAAGCGUGGGGAGCAAACAGGAUUAGAUACCCUGGUAGUCCACGCCGUAAACGAUGUCGAUUUGGAGGUUGUGCCCUUGAGGCGUGGCUUCCGGAGCUAACGCGUUAAAUCGACCGCCUGGGGAGUACGGCCGCAAGGUUAAAACUCAAAUGAAUUGACGGGGGCCCGCACAAGCGGUGGAGCAUGUGGUUUAAUUCGAUGCAACGCGAAGAACCUUACCUGGUCUUGACAUCCACAGAACUUUCCAGAGAUGGAUUGGUGCCUUCGGGAACUGUGAGACAGGUGCUGCAUGGCUGUCGUCAGCUCGUGUUGUGAAAUGUUGGGUUAAGUCCCGCAACGAGCGCAACCCUUAUCCUUUGUUGCCAGCGGUUAGGCCGGGAACUCAAAGGAGACUGCCAGUGAUAAACUGGAGGAAGGUGGGGAUGACGUCAAGUCAUCAUGGCCCUUACGACCAGGGCUACACACGUGCUACAAUGGCAUAUACAAAGAGAAGCGACCUCGCGAGAGCAAGCGGACCUCAUAAAGUAUGUCGUAGUCCGGAUUGGAGUCUGCAACUCGACUCCAUGAAGUCGGAAUCGCUAGUAAUCGUAGAUCAGAAUGCUACGGUGAAUACGUUCCCGGGCCUUGUACACACCGCCCGUCACACCAUGGGAGUGGGUUGCAAAAGAAGUAGGUAGCUUAACCUUCGGGAGGGCGCUUACCACUUUGUGAUUCAUGACUGGGGUGAAGUCGUAACAAGGUAACCGUAGGGGAACCUGCGGUUGGAUCACCUCCUUA